rnacentral:tRNA from 2 species
UUAAUUGAAGCCAAAAAGAGGCUUUUCAUUGUUAAUGAAAGAAAUGAUUAAUAAUCCUAUUAAA